GAAAGUCUCUCCCCAGGGACCAUGACUGAGAGCUCAUUGGCUGUAGCUGGGUCACAUGGCCACAGAAAAAAGAGUCUGGGAAGAUGAGAAUAUUUUUUAGCUGGGCACUUUGCUGUCCUUACAACAGCAAGAUUUUGUUAGGAACGAAGAGGGUAGUGAUAAGCUCCUCACCUCCUGCCUGCCUAAGCUCCAGUUGCAAGGAAGGGAGAUAGAGUGAGAAGAAUAAAAAUAAAGAAGUUGCUCAUCUCUUCAUUUUGCAUGAGGACCUUGAAGUUUGCACAGCAUGGUGACGGUGACACCAAAUGAAAAGAGGACUGAGAACAGACUGUAAGGAUAUUAGCCUACCUGACACAAUCUGGAAAAAUGCCUAUCAAUUCACAUGCACUGGGAGAGGUGCAUAAGCAGGCGAAAUGGAGUAUGGCUGAAGUUUCACUCAAGCAGAAGAGCCCACAUAGGGGUCAGCCUCCCAGGGCACCAUACAGGAUGAAAGAGGGCAGAGAAUGCAUUGGGAUGGCCCCCCAAGACUAACCACCAACAUGACUACUGACAUGGUCACAGUAGAGAUGAUGUGGGUCUGAACAAAGGGAGUGGAGAUGAGGAUGGAGAGGAAGGAGCAGACACUGGAGAUUUUUUGAGAGUUGAAAUAAACACAACUCAGAUGUGAACUGGAUGUGAAGAAGAUGGGAGCAUUCACAGUUGACUGAGAUUUUUGGUUUUGGUGAUGGGUGGCACUGCUUUUAAUCAGAAGAAGGAAUAUACAGCAAAAUGCAGGUUGAGGGAGAAAUCAGUUCUUACAUGUGCAUUUUAUGUGUGAGAGUUGGUGGCACAGUCAAGUGGGUCUAUAUAGAUGAUCCCUGACUUAGGAUGAUCCAACACAAUUUUUUUGACUAGG
rnacentral:lncRNA from 1 species